AUUGAACGCUGGCGGCAUGCCUUACACAUGCAAGUCGAACGGCAGCGCGGGCUUCGGCCUGGCGGCGAGUGGCGAACGGGUGAGUAAUAUAUCGGAACGUGCCCUGGAGUGGGGGAUAACUAGUCGAAAGAUUAGCUAAUACCGCAUACGAUCUACGGAUGAAAGUGGGGGAUCGCAAGACCUCAUGCUCGUGGAGCGGCCGAUAUCUGAUUAGCUAGUUGGUGGGGUAAGAGCCCACCAAGGCGACGAUCAGUAGCUGGUCUGAGAGGACGACCAGCCACACUGGGACUGAGACACGGCCCAGACUCCUACGGGAGGCAGCAGUGGGGAAUUUUGGACAAUGGGGGCAACCCUGAUCCAGCAAUGCCGCGUGUGUGAAGAAGGCCUUCGGGUUGUAAAGCACUUUUGUCCAGAAAGAAAUCCGUUGGGUAAAUACCCCGGCGGGAUGACGGUACCGGAAGAAUAAGCACCGGCUAACUACGUGCCAGCCGCCGCCGUAACAC
rnacentral:rRNA from 1 species